rnacentral:rRNA from 1 species
UUUAAUUGAAGAGUUUGAUCAUGGCUCAGAUUGAACGCUGGCGGCAGGCCUAACACAUGCAAGUCGAACGGUAACAGGGAGCAGCUUGCUGCUCUGCUGACGAGUGGCGGACGGGUGAGUAA